GCUGCAGGCUUUGUCUUUGCUGCCCAGAGCAGCACUGAUCAGACCCAAAGCUCAGCUUCUUCUCGGUCUCAUUUUUCUACCUUUCCUGUAAUUCGCCGUGUGCUGCCAUGGCUCGCAGGAGACCAGGACUAACUGCAGAGGUUCUGGUAACGUCCCCUUCCCCUGUCCCCUACAUGGAGGAGUUGGAAUUUUUGCAGCCACUUUUGGGAAAGACUGUUUCAAGGGGCCUCUUGCCAGACCCAGGGCUGGAGCUGCAGAGUCAGAAUGCACGGUGGCUGGAGCUCUUCAAGCAGUUGUGAUGAGUUGUGUUCUCAGGACAGUGAAGAGAUACAAGGGAGCUCAGGUGCCUGGAGGUGUUUGGAGCUGGCAUUUCAACGCCUGCAUUUCUGUAAUGUGGAAGAGUAAGUCACUGAUUCCUUAAUAAAUAAAAUUUUUGACAGAUGUUCCUUGAUUCGAGGUGUUAUGGGAUUCUAAACAUCCUGCAAAGCCUCAUGUGCUAAGGCUUGGUCACCAGCCUGUGGUGAGUUGGAGAUGGUGUAAUAUGUAGGAGCUGAGGGUCAGUAAGGAAGUUAGGACAGUGGAGUUGUGUUCUGGAGGUCAUUUUGGGGCCUGGCAGCUUUCUCUCUCUUUGCUUCCUGGCCACCAUGAGGUGAGCAGCUCUGCCCUGCCACACACUCCCCAUCAUGAUGUUCUGCCUCCACAUGGGCCCAGAAGUCAUGGAGCCAGUCAACCAUGGCCCAAGACCUCCAAAACCAUGAACCCAGACAAACUUUGACUCCUUCUCUGUUAUCUUGUGCAUUUUGUCACAGUGAUGGAAACCUGACUAAUUCCAGCACAGGGGAGGAAACAACUUAACAGGCAUGGGAGGAAUGGCAUAGAACCUUCCCCUUAUUCUACAAUAGAGUGUCUAUCUCUCUUGUCCAAUACCUGAAUGUCAAAGGUGAUACACAUUCAAUAGAAGUAAAAAUGUUUCAGAAACUACAAAAUAAACAACAGAGAUGUAAGAGAAAUUAUAACUUUUCCAAAAUGUCAAAUAAAGAAAAGUUUUAAAGUAAAAACAGGCAAAUAUAAGCAUUAUAGCCCAGAUUCAAGUUGUUAAGGCCACAUGCGAAAGAGAAUUUCCCAAAGAACAAGGAACAGAGUUGAGAGUGCUACUCUUUUCCCAACUGUAAGCAGAUUAGCCAAGGGUGGAAACUCAGAGGUGGGAUUUGAGACAGACUUUUCCUGGUGUUAAUUUUUAUAUUCAUGUUCUAUUUUUUAUAACAUUCUGUUUUAAAAAUUAUAUUAAUCAAAAAGUGAAAUGAUAAAACAAACACUUAUAUUCACUUCAAUCAACUAAUUGGAAAUAUAUUGUUUCAUCUAGCCAUCUACAUGUCCAUACAUAGAUAUAAAAGUUAUUGAUAGAGUCUUUUAACUUUUAACCAAAGUACUAUUAAAAUCGAAUUAUCAGUUAAAUAAGUUAAAUAAGGCUUAAAUAAGUUUGACAUUCCAUUCACUCUAUGUUUAUCAACACAGGUUUUCAUGCUUAUAUGUAAUCUUAACAACAUAAAACACAUAGCUGUACAUAAAACUGUAUUAAAGUUUACGUCUUUUAGCAUGAAAUAUGUAAAUUUAUACCAUUUGAUGAUAUAAUAUUUUGCAAUAAUGAUUAUUGUGAUUACAAGAGAAUAUCUUGAAAACAUCACAUAAUUAUUUACUUUCUUCUUUUUUGGUUACUGGAGAUUGAACCCAGGUCUUUGCACUGAGAUACAUCCCCAGCCCCAGUCCCCUUUUUUUGAGACAGGACCUUGGUGGAAGGGCAACUCACCUGGACCUUCCUGCACUCACCAGCUCAUCCUGGCACAGCCAGCCAUGCAAAGCAAGCAGCAAGCCUGGAGCCUGCACUUCCUGAGAUCCCGGCUCCUCAGGCUAAGGAGAAGUUGACAGAGCACCUUACUCAGUGAUGUGGCUGUUUUCUAAUACAUGACAAACACCUAGGUCAGGAAUUCAGUAGAAGGAAAUGGCUAAAAUAAAUUCCCCCCCAACAUGAGCAAAUUCUGGAUUCUCUAUGCGAAAGUCAUAAAUUUGACUUAAUAUAAACCUCCAAGAGCAAAAUGUAGGAAAAUUAUAAUUUUUGGAGGACACAUGAUGAUUACACAACUUGAGGUAGAGCAUAGUUGUAAGUUUUAAUCAGAAUGUUGUUGACUCUUUUCUAAUAGGCCUCACUUGAAAACUCCAAACUUCUAAAUGUGGGUAUAAGGCAAAAUGUGUAGUUGAUAUGCAAAUAAAAAUGUAAGUGAAGAUAUUAACUUUUCUUAUGAUAAAACUGCCUUAUUCCAUUUUUUAAUGUCACUUUUAUUUUCAGAGUAUGAAUAUAUAAUGUAGAUGAACUGAAAUUGAGAACCUCCAUGGACUCUUUCCUUUAAAAUUUUAAUUUUAUUAGCACAUGUUUUCAGUACAUGCAUCUUUUUAUUAACUUUAUUGGUAUAUUUUAUGUAUACAUUAUGAACACAUUCAUAAUUGAGAAUUUGUACCUGUAAAUGAUAUAUCUUAGUUCUUGUUUUUUCCCAUUCCCCUUCCCUCCCUCAUUAUUUAUAAAAGCAGUGAAAUGAAUAUGACACACAUGUGUAAAUACCAAAUUGUCUCUUUGGUGUGAGAAACUGAAAGUGUAAAUGAGGACCAAAAUGUAUAAUAGAUGAUGUGAAAUAGGAAGCAAAGGUUCAAAGGGGAAGGGGGGUGGUGAGGGAAAGGAAAGAAAGGAAAGGAAAAAAAAUAUGAGAAAAGAAGGAAAAAUGAAGUACAUGCCUUUUACAGUCAUUCUGGGGAGUUGGCACAUGUACAUAAUACAGCUUCUACUUUCUUAAUCUCCUUCUCUCCCUUCUCCCUUCUCCUCUAGUUCCCCUUUCCCCCUUUUCGUUCUUGUUGAUAUCAUCAAUCUUAGCUCAGGUCUAUGGCACAUUAUGUCCACACUGACUGAGGUUAUGAGGGCCUUGUACCUGGCACAUCUUCACUCUCCCUACUUCCCUAUAGCCUCAUCCUCACCCCUUACCCUCAGAACCCUGGAACCAUCUGCAAGACACCCACACCACUGUCUCCUCUGUACUUUAUUUUUCUCUUAGUGUGUACUUUGUCUCAUUCAGAUGACAGAUACCAUAUGGUAUUCAAGUUUGUGUGUCUGAUUUGUUUCACUCAACAUUACAUUUUCCAGGUGCAUCCAUUUUCCUGGAAAUGUCUCAAAUUUGUCUUUUGUAUACAGAGAAUUUUGAACAUUUGAGAACACAAUUGACACAGAAGAUGUUUUAUUUUAAUGUUUUUUAUUCAGUUAUUAAAAGGGUUAGUGAUAUCAAAAUGUCUUUUAUAUUAUUGUUGUAAAUUUCAUCCUACCUUUUAUGAUGAUUAUUAUGAAGAGUUUUGUUUUCAUCCAAGCCUGAUGAUCUAUGAGGAUAAAAAACCUUCUAGAAGACUUAGUGAUUCUUACUAAUUUUUCAAGAAGAAAAGCUAUCAGAAAAUAGUUUCAUUCCACCUGUGUAAAUAAAUUACUAUGUAAAAUUUGUUUUAUUUAUACUAUAUGAUUUAACUAAGCAAAGAUGUUGUUAUUAUGUAGUUCCUAUCAGGCAAAAUAAAGGAAAAGGGAACUUCAUAGAGACUGUUGCAUUUUUAAAUGAUUUUGUCAUUUUGAAAUUUCUAACAAGUACACAUUAUAUUGAACAAGAUAUUAGCUUUUACAGGGACAGAAAAUAUUUACAGAAGUACUACUAAGCAGACCUUCAAUUAAAAUAUUUUAGAAAGUAGCAUUGUGAUUAUGUAAGUUAUGAAGUCACAUAAAAGCACCAUUAGACCAGAAAAAAAAAAUAAAGCCAACAUGUCUAGAACAAAAUUAUAUAAUUUUGAACAUUCAUGUUUCCUUCUAAGGAAAUAUGGUUACAUGUGCCAAGUUCAUGCAGAAAGGGAAUUGACUAUAAAGGGGAAUGCUUUUUGUAAACACUAUCAAGUCUAUAUUUCAGCCUGAAUUUAUUUUAUCAAAUUAUGUUCUGGGUAAUAAAGAAUAUGUUCAUGAUUAUGUUAAAAAGGUCAUAUUUUAGAAGUUAUAGAAGCAUUCCUAUUUCAUUUUUUUUUGGAAUAUGAGAUAUGACAGAAAUACAGUGAUGUUUAAACUUUAAAAAAUGUAUUACAGUAUCAGAGAUCUCCGCAGUAGCUGCUGAUCUCCUGCUUGGUGCUAAGGCACAAGGCUGAGAAAAAAGCAAACAAACAAAAACCUGAAAGAUAGAACUAAAGAGAAAGAGAAACCAGGGAGCCGGGAAAACCACUGCUAUUGCAAACCAGCAAAGGUGCUGGUCAGUCCAAGCCACUGUUUUUUAUUGGUAAUCAAUUGGGGUAAAUGUGAGCUACAUGCUAAAGGGAAACUACUUGUGAGGAGGUGCAGUUAUGCAGUUACUAUGGAUACUAAUGCAAGCAAGGCUUGGAAAAGACAAAGCAUUCUCAAAUUAGGAACAUAAUAGACAAAAUACAGGGUUGUAAUUAGAACCUUGUCCUUUUAGUUAAGAAGGUUUUAGUCAUGGGAAUGUGUUGGUAGUCUCUCUAGAGGGAGACCUGGAACCCUGGAAAGCACCAACUUUUAAAGAAAGAAAAGGAGACAGCCUGGGGGAUGAACAGCAGUUUAAUUUCUCUGGCACUAUUCGACCAUCACAAAGGAAAGAAGCAAGGCUUUUAUACAUGUAGGAAAGCAGCUUAGUUAUUCUGGCUAUCAUCUUUCUGAUUUUAACCUCUGGUGACAAAUGACUUUAAGUGACUCAUAAAAGCUACAGGCGAAUUCACAAGUCCCCUGUUUCCGUUCACCAAUCCCGUACAUCAAAGAGCACACCACAGUCCUCUUCUUAUCAGAUGGUACCAAGACAGCAGGGCGACUUUAGCUAAAAUCAAGCCCACCUGCCCACCAUAAACAUCAUAGAUGUGCAUACUGAGUCGUAUGUCUCUCACCACCUGUAGAGUCAUUGGGUCACGGUCCUCUGAUCCCAGAAAAUGGUAAAUAAGAAAACUAGGAAAACCUGUUUUUCUCCUGUGAGACUUUUACAAGGUCUCUUAAAGUUUUCUGACAUUCUUUUAACAAACAGACUUGUGGAAUUUCCCAUAAACGACUUAAUUCUCUUAGUUAACAAACUUCUUGUGAUCUAUUCUUACAACUAGAUAGCUGAAUUCUACCAUUUCCCACAGGAAUGGAGUGUGAGUCACUUUGACCUCUGCAUGUAGGCUUUGGCCAGCUGGUCUCAUUUCUCAAAACAAAUGUGGGGUUAAUUCUUUACAGCCUACUUUGAGCAUAAUCAAUUAGGCAUUACCCCACAUUACAGUAAGACACAUCGGCAUUAAUCUCCCUCAAAAUCCCCCAUCUCCCCUCUCCAGCUUCUAACAUCUCAUUCUUCUUGCCACUUCCUGAAGCAGCUCCAAAAGUCCUCUUUUGUGAAUAUCCUUAGCUGCUCUUUCAUGCAUUGCUUCAAAACCUUUACCUUUCCUGUUCAUUUUGACUUUGGGGGAGAGCCAGAAGUCACACAGUGCCAGAUCUAGAGAAUAAGGUGGAUGAGAACACAGCAUCAUGGGUUUUUUUUUUGCCUCUACCUUUCCUUUGCAUCACACUGGGCAGCAGAACUCAUGGUAUUUUUUAUUAUAUCUCAUAAAGACACUCAGAAAAGAGGACUGUAGAGUUGCUUCAGAAAGUAGCAAGAGCCAAGGAGUGUGUUUGAGGAGAGGGGGAGAUGUGGAAGUCAACUCAUAUCAAUGUGUCUUUUACUGUGAUGAAGUUUUAAAAUUUAAACCAUCAUCGUAUAUUUUGAUCCCUCAAUGUAGAAAUAUUUCUUCAGAGCAGAUGUUCACCAUUCAUUCUUUCUUUCUUAUCUAACCACCUUUCUUACGGGUUUGUUAUUCCCAAUCUUAUUAUACUGUAUAUAUAAAGGAAGAAUAGACAGCAUCUACCUUCAAGGUGUCAGUAUUAAAAUAGUAUACAAAACUGAACAUAGUGAAAGCAUAUAAAACAAAAAGAAACAUGUGUGAGAAAGGCACUGCCAAUUUUCACUGAUAUAUAACAUCCCAAACUAAGCUAAAGGGAAAGCAAAAUUUUAAGAAGAAAGAGGAUUUUCAAUAUCUCUUUAGUUCCACAGAAGGUUUUCUAUUGACAAGAAGCCAAGAUGAAUGUUUUAAGAAAUACUAUGUAUUCAGGUAUGGUGGCCCACACCUGUAAUCUCAGCACCAUGGGAAACGUAAGCAGGAGAAUCACAAGUUCAUUUCCAUUCUGGGCAACAUGACACUAAGCAAGAUAUUGUCUAUUAGUACUACUACUACUAGACUGGGGAAGCAGCUCUUUGCAAAGGCCCUGGAGUGCUAAAAAUAAGUAUUCCAUUGAAGAGAUCUUUUUCAUAUUAAUUUUAGAUCUGAGUCUCUAACUAAAUUAAAGACUAAUAUAGUUCAUGAUGAAUCACAUACCAUUGGUUUCCAGAAGUUUCUUGGCACUAGGCUCCUUGGUUGUCUCCCUAACCUGUGUUUGCUAAUUUCUUCCAUCCAGAAAGAUCCUGGCAGAGGGGAGAUGGGCAUCUACAAUGUCACCACUAUGACUCAGUUCAUCCUCAUUGGGCUCUCUGACCUCCCUGAGGUGUGCUCCCCUCUCUUUAUGGCCUUUGCCAUCAUCUACCAGGUCACCUUUGUGGGAAAUGGGGCCAUCCUCUUUCCUAUUGGAACUGAGGUAAAGCUGUACACUCCCAUGUACUACUUCCUGGCAAACUUGUCCCUCUUAGACAUAUUCUGCCAUCAACAACUGUUCCCAAUAUUCUGCACAAUCUCUUGACUGAGGACCACAGGGUUUCCUUGGUUGGGUGUGCUCUACAGCUGUAUUUUCUGGUGGCCUUGAUGGGGACUUAAAUCUUCUUGCUGGCUGUCAUGGCUUAUGACUGCUAUGUAGCCAUCUGCUUCCUCCUUCACUACUCUGUUAUAAUAAACAAGGCUACAUGGGCCCACAUGGUGUUUGGGACCUGGGCAGCCAGAUUCCUCAAUUCUGUCAUCCACACAAUGUCCACCUUCAGCCUGUCUUUCUGCAGGUCCAAUCUGGUGAACCAGUACUACUGUGAUAUCCCACAAAUUGUGGCCUUGUCUUGCUCAUCCACCUACAUACAGAAAUUCUUUCUUUGGUGAUAGGAGGAGUCUUUGGGACCAGUGCCUUCCUGACCACCUUGAUCUACAUCAUCUCCUAUGGCUACAUCAUCUCCACCAUCCUGAAGAUCCAGUCUGCAGAAGGGAAGGGCAUAGCCUUCUCCAUGUGCAUCUCCAUUUGUGUUUUUCCUUCCUGUAUUCAAUUAGUGAAACAGUCACAUCACUCAUGAAGUGUUUUUAUACUAUUUACUGAUGUGUUUUUUCUCCUUUUGAUUGUCAUCACUCUUAUUCACUUUUGAAACCUACCAGAUGAUAGCCUGAUCUAUGUGCCUGGGACUCUAGUGCUAUAUGAUAAGGACUUUGAGAUCCAGUACCAUGGCAUCAAUUAGAUUUUUCAGCACUCAAUAUUGUUCUGCUAUGUGCUCUCAACAACAUUUGCUUUGUUCCUAGUAGGUUUGUGUUCACUGCCUCUUAAUAACUUUAGAUAAAGAAAGAAAAUCUCUACAAUUUUAUUGGUGAAUAAAAUGAAGUACUCAUACUACAUUACAAUGGCAAGUUUGAGAUUUUUGUUGCCUUUAUUUAUUCUCAAUAGAAGUUUGCAUAAAGUAUGAAAGAAUCAGAUUUUCAUUGAAUAAAAAUAAUCCAUAGAAAUUUGUUAAAUGUAAAAUUAAUUUGUAAAAUUAAAUAAAAUCUUAAAAACAGAAGCAAUUAUUCAUUUUAGAUAUCAGAUAGUCGAAUAUUUAUUUAUUAUUUCAUCGUGUAAAAACAUUCCCAAAUAUUUCAGAAUAGAGAGAUGAUACUGGAAUUGCACAAGACAAGAGAACAGCCAUACC
ensembl:lncRNA